GAAUGAAGAGUUAAGGGGCUAUUUCAGAAACCCAGACAAAAGGUGAUGGAAAGUUGAAUCAGAGUGUGCCCAGUGAGACAUAGUGUAAUGAUAAUGCUGCAGUUUAGAGAGAUUCUCCAGAAACAGUAACAGAUGUUAGACGUUUAGCAUUCAAGUUUGCAUGAUCUUUCUCAAAAGAUGUUCUUUCCAAUGAACAAUGCUAUGGAGAAAAUACAGAGAGAUGCAGAUGGCUGGCCCAAGCUUCUCCACUAAAUGGCUCAGAAAAUAAAAAUGCAACAAUGAAGCAAAAGAUCGAACAAUAGGAAUCCUGUUGGUGAGCUUUUUCUGAUUCUGGUGAUGAUGCUGCUUCAUCAGAGCUUCAUGGACCCUGUGACGUACAUCCUCAUUCAGCUGGCCUGAGCUGACCUGCUGGUCAAGGACCAUAUCUGAAGACAGAAAGAAGAUAAGUACCCAUAGAAUGUGUUUGAUAACAAGGAACUAUAACUUUCAGACGUAGAAGGAAAGAUUUCAGAAGACUGAACUGAGUACAUUGAUAUUUGUCAUACACAUCAAGUGUGCCAAUGAAAUAAAUAACAGCAGGGUCUCGGCAUGCAUCUCUGGCUGGCCUGGAACUUACUGUGUAGGCCAAGUUGGCCUCAAACUCAGAGACCUGACCUCCUAUGCUAGGAUUAAAGAUGCGUGCUGUGUCGUCAACCUGGCAUGAACCUGAUUUCAAAUAACGCAUUCUCAAACUGGUCUUAACUUUGUAUUCAGUGGAGCCACUUAUUAAAUUUAUCCUUCAGU